AACGAACGCUGGCGGCAGGCUUAACACAUGCAAGUCGAGCGCCCCGCAAGGGGAGCGGCAGACGGGUGAGUAACGCGUGGGAAUCUACCCAUCUCUACGGAAUAACGCAUGGAAACGUGUGCUAAUACCGUAUACGUCCUUCGGGAGAAAGAUUUAUCGGAGAUGGAUGAGUCCGCGUUGGAUUAGCUAGUUGGUGGGGUAAAGGCCUACCAAGGCGACGAUCCAUAGCUGGUCUGAGAGGAUGAUCAGCCACACUGGGACUGAGACACGGCCCAGACUCCUACGGGAGGCAGCAGUGGGGAAUAUUGGACAAUGGGCGCAAGCCUGAUCCAGCCAUGCCGCGUGAGUGAUGAAGGCCCUAGGGUUGUAAAGCUCUUUCACCGGAGAAGAUAAUGACGGUAUCCGGAGAAGAAGCCCCGGCUAACUUCGUGCCAGCAGCCGCGGUAACAC
rnacentral:rRNA from 1 species